rnacentral:rRNA from 1 species
GUUGAACGCUAGCGGCAGGCCUAACACAUGCAAGUCGAGGGGUAUAAGUCUUCGGACUUUGAGACCGGCGCACGGGUGCGUAACGCGUAUGCAAUCUACCUUGUACAGAGGGAUAGCCCAGAGAAAUUUGGAUUAAUACCUCAUAGUAUAUUUGAAUGGCAUCAUUUAAAUAUUAAAGUUCCAACGGUACAAGAUGAGCAUGCGUCCCAUUAGUUAGUUGGUGUGGUAACGGCACACCAAGACGAUGAUGGGUAGGGGUCCUGAGAGGGAGAUCCCCCACACUGGUACUGAGACACGGACCAGACUCCUACGGGAGGCAGCAGUGAGGAAUAUUGGUCAAUGGAGGCAACUCUGAACCAGCCAUGCCGCGUGCAGGAUGACGGUCCUAUGGAUUGUAAACUGCUUUUAUACGGGAAGAAAAAGAGUUACGUGUAACUUAUUGACGGUACCGUAAGAAUAAGGAUCGGCUAACUCCGUGCCAGCCGCCGCCGUAA